GACGAACGCUGGCGGCGUGCCUAACACAUGCAAGUCGAACGGAAACGCCCUGCUUUUGUGCGCUGCUCGAGUGGCGAACGGGUGAGUAACACGUGAGUAACGUGACCUUCACUUUGGUAUGACUUAAGGAAAGUGAGGCUAAUCCCGGAUAGGAUCUCCUGCACCAUGGUGGGCGGUGGAACGUUUCGGCGGUUGGGGUUGGACGGGCCGCUUACCGGCUUGUUAGUGGGGUAGUGGCAUACCAAGGCAGGGAACGGUAGCCGGCCGGUGAGGGUGACCGGCCACAAUGGGACUGAGGUACGGCCCAGAGUGCAACGGGAGGCAGCAGUGGGGAGUAUUACACAGUGGGCGGGAGCCUGAUACGAAGACGCCGCGUGCGGGAAGACGGCCUUCGGGUUGUGAACCGCUUUCGCCUGAGACGAAGCGUGAGUGACGGUAAUGGGUAAAGAAGCACCGGCUAACUACGUG
rnacentral:rRNA from 1 species